rnacentral:rRNA from 1 species
GACGAACGCUGGCGGCGUGCUUAACACAUGCAAGUCGAACGGUGACCCUCGGAGCUUGCUUCGGGGUGAACAGUGGCGAACGGGUGAGUAACACGUGAGUAACCUGCCCCUGACUCUGGAAUAAGCGCUGGAAACGGCGUCUAAUACCGGAUACGACACGCCUCCGCAUGGGGAGCGUGUGGAAAGUUUUUCGGUCUGGGAUGGACUCGCGGCCUAUCAGCUUGUUGGUGAGGUAAUGGCUCACCAAGGCGAUGACGGGUAGCCGGCCUGAGAGGGUGACCGGCCACACUGGGACUGAGACACGGCCCAGACUCCUACGGGAGGCAGCAGUGGGGAAUAUUGCACAAUGGGCGCAAGCCUGAUGCAGCAACGCCGCGUGAGGGACGACGGCCUUCGGGUUGUAAACCUCUUUUAGUAGGGAAGAAGCGAAAGUGACGGUACCUGCAGAAAAAGCACCGGCUAACUACGUGCCAGCCGCCGCGGUAACAC